UACGUAGGGUGCGAGCGUUAAUCGGAAUUACUGGGCGUAAAGCGUGCGCAGGCGGUUGUGCAAGACCGAUGUGAAAUCCCCGGGCUUAACCUGGGAACUGCAUUGGUGACUGCACGGCUAGAGUGUGUCAGAGGGGGGGUAGAAUUCCACGUGUAGCAGUGAAAUGCGUAGAGAUGUGGAGGAAUACCGAUGGCGAAGGCAGCCCCCCUGGGAUAACACUGACGCUCAUGCACGAAAGCGUGGGGAGCAAACAGG
rnacentral:rRNA from 1 species